rnacentral:rRNA from 1 species
GAUGAACGCUGGCGGCGUGCCUAAUACAUGCAAGUCGAGCGAACAGAUAAGGAGCUUGCUCCUUUGACGUUAGCGGCGGACGGGUGAGUAACACGUGGGUAACCUACCUAUAAGACUGGAAUAACUCCGGGAAACCGGGGCUAAUGCCGGAUAACAUGUUGAACCGCAUGGUUCUACAGUGAAAGACGGUCUUGCUGUCACUUAUAGAUGGACCCGCGCCGUAUUAGCUAGUUGGUGGGGUAACGGCCUACCAAGGCGACGAUACGUAGCCGACCUGAGAGGGUGAUCGGCCACACUGGAACUGAGACACGGUCCAGACUCCUACGGGAGGCAGCAGUAGGGAAUCUUCCGCAAUGGGCGAAAGCCUGACGGAGCAACGCCGCGUGAGUGAUGAAGGUCUUCGGAUCGUAAAGCUCUGUUGUUAGGGAAGAACAAAUGUGUAAGUAACUGUGCACAUCUUGACGGUACCUAACCAGAAAGCCACGGCUAACUACGUGCCAGCAGCCGCGGUAAUACGUAGGUGGCAAGCGUUAUCCGGAAUUAUUGGGCGUAAAGCGCGCGUAGGCGGUUUUUUAAGUCUGAUGUGAAAGCCCACGGCUCAACCGUGGAGGGUCAUUGGAAACUGGAAAACUUGAGUGCAGAAGAGGAAAGUGGAAUUCCAUGUGUAGCGGUGAAAUGCGCAGAGAUAUGGAGGAACACCAGUGGCGAAGGCGGCUUUCUGGUCUGCAACUGACGCUGAUGUGCGAAAGCGUGGGGAUCAAACAGGAUUAGAUACCCUGGUAGUCCACGCCGUAAACGAUG